UUUCGCGCUCGCACGCUUUUUACAUUAGGUCCUGAAAGCAACGAACGUGACCGCAACCUCUUGUUGCCUCAUCUCCNUACUUUUUUAGCACUUNGNUGUUGAAUAAUUUCAUUGAGGCUUUCCAAAACUAGAGGGACCGCUGUCAACUUCUUAAACCAGAGGAAGGUUGCGGCAAUAACAGGUCUGUGAUGCCCUUAGAUGUUCCGGGCUGCACACGUGCUACAAUGAUUGUUGCAGUGAGCAUCUCAAUUUUUUACCUUAACACCGCACACGUGAGUAGCAUACUUGUAUGUUUACUUUACGCAGCGGUAAAGCNUGCUUCGAGAGCAAGUGGGUAAUCAAUUAGAAGUAACGAUUUCCCAAAUUAGCACACUUAUAUGCGGCGUUUGCGCCCGGGUGCCACUUGUUGGUACUUCUGUGCGUGCAGAUGUUUUUUUCCGCAUGUGCAAUUGUCAAUUCAUGGUGGGGACAGACCAUUGUUAAUUGUUGGUCUCGGUCUUAANUAGGAAUGCNUUGUACGGGUCUUUGGUUCAACAAACCACCCGGAAUACGUCCCUGCCCUUUGUACACACCGCCCGUCGCUCUUAC
rnacentral:rRNA from 1 species